rnacentral:rRNA from 1 species
CGGCGGACGGGUGAGUAACACGUGGAUAACCUACCUAUAAGACUGGGAUAACUUCGGUAAACCGGAGCUAAUACCGGAUAAUAUAUUGAACCGCAUGGUUCAAUAGUGAAAGACGGUUUUGCUGUCACUUAUAGAUGGAUCCGCGCCGCAUUAGCUAGUUGGUAAGGUAACGGCUUACCAAGGCAACGAUGCGUAGCCGACCUGAGAGGGUGAUCGGCCACACUGGAACUGAGACACGGUCCAG